GAAGGUAUAGCUCAGUGGUAGAGUGCAUGCCUAGCAUGCAUGAAGUCCUGGGUUUAAUCCCCAGUACCUCCA
rnacentral:tRNA from 1 species